CCUUAUUUGGCUCUAGUCUGUACCUUUGUCACGCCCCAAAAUUGACAUACAGACCACUAGUCUGAGACCAGCUGGUGUUCUGAAUGUAGGUUGCGUAGAUCUCAGACACUAGUUGCGCGCUGCUCUGUGUACUUCCACGGGAAUUACAAAGAAGAAAGUUUGGAAGUUUUUCAAGGAUAUUGAAAACGAACCACGGUCGUAAAUGCAGUGUUCCAGACUGUACAGGGAAUGCGGACACUUUUGAUGACAUUUCAUCGUGAGCUGCCGGUCAUGGUGCUCCAGGUAAGCGGAAGUUGGUGGUUCAAUUACCCCAGAAAAGGUCACUGUGCGCUGGGUACAGAGCAGCGCGAGCUGCCGGUCCCAGUGAGUGCGGUUGGCCAUUGCGUCUUUGCUCCUCAGCUUCGCUCGUUGUAAACCAACCAAUCAGCGCGUGGCUCAUCUAAAUAUUCAUGAGCAUACCAUAAAAGGGA